AAUAGAUAAUCACUUCGGCAUAAUGCCGUAUGCUUCAGUAAUUAUCCAUUAAAUAUCGACCGAUUCUAAACCUAUACUCCACCAUCCUCGGAGACCCAGUAGUCUCCCUCGCAGCCGUUUUUAGUCUCGUCACGCAACGCUUCUUCCCACAAACGGCUGCUCACAUUCGAACAACAUUCCUUUCCGCUACUUCAACCAAUCACUAUUUGGGUUACAUAUGCCGAGAACUGUGCGCGCCAAAGUAGUCUAACCAAUCAUAUUGUUUGUUUCAUCUUCGAGUUCAUAGCUUUCAAAAUGGCGUCCAAUGAAGAAACGUUUGAUGUUGUUAGUAAUACAUUUCGAAUUCCUCGCAUAAAUGCGCAGCAAAAAACUGGAAUUAGGAAAAUAGUUGAGGAAAGAAAGGAUGUAUUUGUCAAUCUUCCUACUGGUUUCGGGAAAUCUCUCCUGUAUGAAGCACUACCACUCGUGUUUGAUCUUACCUCAUAAGAGCCUGGUCGUAUCGUCGUCGUUGUCUCACCAUUCGGGAAAGCCUUAUGAACGACCAAGUGUCCCAUUUGAGGAAGCUAGGGCUAAAAGCAGGUAACAUAAGUUCACUUGAGGGUGGUAAACGCACUCGUUUCGAAAGCGGCGAAGAUUCCUUACUUUACGGAUCCCUGAAGCGUGGUUAAAGAACGAACGCUGGAGAUUUAUGCUGACGAACUCUGUGUAUUCCAUGCCAAAAGACCCUGUGCCAUUGCCGUCGAUGAAGCGCAUGUUGUAAGACAGUGGGGAACAUCACAAGAUAAUUAAAUGGAAGCAUUCUGUGAGUCUUACUUGAACCUUCUGAACAUGAAAAAUGCAGUAGAAAUUAAGGAAAGUCAAAAUAAAUCAAAUGUAUAUGGAUAAGGACAUGGAGCUGGAAUUCUGUUUUGGCUGGCUUACUGAUGAACUGAAACAGAGUCAGGAAAAAACAGAAAGAACUAUUAUUUAUUGCCAGACUAUAAGAUAAUUACUUUAUGCUACCAUUAAUGUUUUACUUUAAUGUUUAUUGGAAAUGAUUCAAAACAUGUGGUUGUUGAAAUGUUGUAUUCCUGCACUCCUGAAGCUAAUAAGCAUAACAUUUUGGAGUCCUUUCACAGAGUGGUGGAAAUCACUGUGGGGGAGGGGGUUGGGGAGAACAGUACAGCUUCUUUGGCCCUCCUACUACAUUGUGGUAAGAAAACGAGUGAUCUAAUAAAUUCAUCAUAUUUUUAAAUCAGA